GGAUGAUGGCAUGAUGCUGUCAGGGACUCUGGGCAGGCAGGCCAGCCUAAGCCAAGUACUGCAGCAGCCACACCUGCAGCAAACCUCAGCUAAUUAACUCAACCCAGGUUUAGGAUCAGCAAG